UACUCUUCCGCUUGGUUCGCUUCGUGAUUAUGAAUUUUAGAUCUUGCAUUAUGUUCUCGUUCAGUUUUUGGUUUUGUUCGAAUUGAUUGGUAGAAAUCGUAAUUUCAGUAACCGGAUUGUUGGGUUUUUUAGGAAUCUCUCAGAUCCUCUCUUCACUUGAUUCUGGACAUCUCGAAUUGGGUAAUGGUAGGUAGCGGUGGGAUUGGUUUGUGUUAUAGUAGAAACUGUAGGUUUUGGGGGAUGAUACUGGAUUCAGGGCUUUUCGUGGAUAGUAUAUUAUAGGAUUCACUAAUUGUGACUUUUUUUGGCAAAACCACCUGUGAAAUCGAAUUAGAAUUUACUUAUUGGAAAUAUCUGAUUCUUACUUGUGUUUCUUGAAUUUAUCAUAACUGAGAACUGAUUGAUCUGGUUUAUCUCGAGUGGUGUUUUGGAACUCAUGUUGCAAAGCUUGUCCUGGCUGUGAAGAAAAAAACACAAUUUGGAUUUCAGAGUCAAAACGAGAUCAUUACAAUGGCGCCAUCACGUAACAUCAUUGUAGCCACCGGUCUGGUUGUUUUCGCGUCUGCAGGGUUAGCGUUCCCCUUUUACAUGGCAUCAUCGAAAAAACCAGUAAUUGAUCCAACAAAACCAUUACCUCCUCAAGCAACUUUUAGAGGACCUUACAUCAACACAGGUUCACGCGAUGUUGGUCCUGACCAUCGAACUUAUCCAAAAAAAUGAUCAGAUCAAAUCAAGACAAUUAAGCAGGAGUUUUCAAUGUAAGCCGCUGGUAUAACAUUUGAUAUCUUUAUUCCUAGACAAUAUCGUUCUUUAGUUUGUGCUCCCACUCCAUGUAAUUUUGUUAUGCUUCAUGUAACUUAUCAGAAGAUAGUUUUCCCAACCUAAACAUUGAAUGUAACUGAAGAAACGGAUUUCAUAAACUUGAUUUUGUAUUGUCAAAAAAAAAAGUUUUGAGGGAUGUAA